rnacentral:tRNA from 2 species
GGGCGGGUGGCGAAACUGGUAGACGCACCACACUCAAAAUGUGGCGGGCUUGCGCCCAUAGGAGUUCGAUUCUCCUCCUGCCCA